GGGGAAGAGGAGGCCAGUGUCUUCCAGACACAGCUCCGAUGAAGACUGCGGUAAGAGUACACCAGUCUCGAGCCAGCCGAAACAAGGGUGCACUUGAGCUGGAGAGCCUGAUGAGAACCUGACAUUCCAUCACUUGUCACCAUUUCCUGAGCCUCUGAGUGAUCCUCACCGCUCUCAAACUCUAAGCCUCAUCUGGACCUUGGUGAGAGCCGCAACUUCUCCCUACGACCCCCUCCUCAACUGGUCAUCCACUCCAUGCCAGGAGAAGCCUGCCUUGGUUCCGGACCUGGUCACUGUGGUCUGAGUUCUUCCUGGCUCACUGCUCAUCCCUUCUAGGCACACCACACACCAACCGGAACACCCUCCACCGGAACUUCACCAACCC